AGCAGUCGCCACGGUAAUACAGAGGUCUCAAGCGUUGUUCGGAUUCAUUGGGCGUAAAGGGAGCGUAGGCGGCCGGGUAAGUCGGAUGUGAAAUCCUGGGGCUCAACCUCAGAACUGCAUUCGAUACUGCUUGGCUAGAGGACUGGAGAGGUGAGUGGAAUUCACGGUGUAGCAGUGAAAUGCGUAGAUAUCGUGAGGAAGACCAGCGGCGAAGGCGGCUCACUGGACAGUUCCUGACGCUGAUGCUCGAAGGCCAGGGGAGCAAACGGGAUUAGAUACCCGGGUAGUCCCUGUCUCUUAUAC
rnacentral:rRNA from 1 species